rnacentral:rRNA from 1 species
UAGCGGAGGAAAAGAAACCAACAGGGAUUGCCUCAGUAACGGCGAGUGAAGCGGCAAAAGCUCAAAUUUUAAAGCUGGCAUCUUCGGUGUCCGCGUUGUAAUUUUGUGAGGCAUCUCCGGGUAGGGCGCCGGCCUAAGUUCCUUGGAACAGGACGUCACAGAGGGUGAGAAUCCCGUGCUUGGCUGGCUGUCCCCGUCCAUGUGAGGUGUCUUCGACGAGUCGAGUUGUUUGGGAAUGCAGCUCAAAAUGGGUGGUAAAUUUCAUCUAAAGCUAAAUAUUGGUGGGAGACCGAUAGCGCACAAGUAGAGUGAUCGAAAGAUGAAAAGCACUUUGAAAAUAGAGUUAAAAAGUACGUGAAAUUGUUGAAAGGGAAGCGCUUGAGAUCAGACUUCGGUAGGGGGUGAUCAGCCGUCCUUCUGGGCGGUGCACUUGCCCCUCUCCGGGCCAGCAUCGGUUGAGGCGGCGGGAUAAAGGUCCCGGGAAUGUGGCUCCUUCGCGGGAGUGUUAUAGCCCGGGUGAAUGCCGCCAGUCUCGACCGAGGACCGCACCCGCAAGGGUUAGGAUGCUUGGCAUAAUGGUCUUCAGCGACCCGUCUUGA